UUCCUCAUUGGGGAGAGGCAUUGCAGUGUCAAUUAGUAGCUCCUGCUUUACACAUCUAGCUUCAUCAUUAGGUUGCACCAUUGCAGCAUCUCUAGGUGGCUCUGCUCCCACUCUUCUAUCUUCCAUGUGAGGUUGGGGCAUUGCAGUGCCGAUGAGUGGUUCCUGCUUUCCUCUUCUACCUUCAUCAUCAGGUUGCAGCAUUGCUGUGUCACUGAGGUGCUCCUGUCCCACUUUUGUAGCUUCGCCAUCAGGUUGCAGCAUUGCAGUGUUACCGGCCGGUUCAUGUUCGAAUGGCCAAGCGUCUUCAUCAGGUUGCAGCAUUGCUGUGUCACUGAGGUGCUCCUGUCCUACUUUUGUAGCUUCGCCAUCAGGUUGCAGCAUUGCAGUGUUACCGGACGGUUCAUGUUCGAAUGGCAAAGCGUCUUCAUCAGGUUGCAGCAUUGCAGUGUCACUGGCUGGUUCAUGUUCGAAUGACCAAGCUUCUUCAUCAGGUUGCAUCAUUACAGUGUUGGCCGAUGGAUCUUCUGUUGUUACAGCUGGCUUCAUAGGGACAUCUGAAUGAUGAGCAUCUCCAGGCACUCCAGUCUCAUCCUUUCCCUCGUUAACUUCUUGGCCAUUCUUCUUGAUGAAUUUAUUCUUGUUCCGUUGCUUCUUGAAACCACCUUUCUUGGUCUUAAGUGAUUUUGGAGUUUCAACGGGCUUUUUCUCGGUGUCCUUACCUUGCCUUUUUCCAGGCACAACAAUAUAUUUUGUGGUACCAUUCGCGCAACCCUCUGAUUGGCCUGCAACUAAAAAAGG
rnacentral:lncRNA from 1 species